UUCCGGCCAGGUGUCUCCCGUCGCCAUAGUGACACAGACACAACAACCAAGGAGGGAGCCGCACCAGGAGCCGCACCAGGAGCCCCACAGGGCACAGGGCACAGGGCUCCAGUCAGCUCCACUAACGGAAGGGCUGCUGGAAGCCAAUCUGCAGCCACGCCUCUGCGUCCACGAAGCAGGAGCCCACACUCCACUCUCGAGGACCACGGAACCCGUGGGGCCACUGUAACUAGGCACCACAGACCUGUGGACAACAGGCCUGUUUCUCAGCAGUCCGGGAGCGGGGCGUCAAGAUUGGGGUGCUCGCCCACGGAGCCCGUCCCGCCACAGGUGCGCACCAAGUCCCCUCCCGUGUCCCCUACAAGGACCGCAAUCGCCGAUCCCACUCACAAGGGCUCCCCUGGCCGUCCGGAGCCCCAGCCCCCGAAACCGUCACCACGGGGGCUGGGUUGUGAGUUGUGAGGAGACCCCCGCAUUCAGGGCGCAGCCACCGCUGACAGCGCCAACCAGGAGGGGUUCACGGACCCGUGGCCUCCCGCUGGGGAGCCGGGACCGGAACCAGCUCGGGACCACAGCCGCGCAGACCACGGGAGGUGCCGGAGAGCGAAGACCCCGCGCCGGGUGGGCUGAGGGGCCGGGAUGUCUCUCGUCACCCCGAACCUGGGAGUUCCCCGUCCCGGUCUCUGCAGAUGCCGGUCCUGUGCUCUCCCCGUGGCUCUGGAGUCCCCUGCCCCCACGAGCGCCUGUGUGUCUUCCGUGUCCGUGACUCACUCUGGGUAUUUCCCGCUGGCCCGUCUCCAGCCCACACGCUGUCUGCUCGGCUGUGUCUAAACUGUGUCACACCCUUUCACUGGGCCCGAGAUUUGUGCUUAUUGUAAUGGUUGGGAGAUGUACUUAAUCGUCACUGCUAUUUCUUUGCUGCAAUUCUGAAUCUCGCCUUUGUUUGUCUUCUGUGUCCUUCAGCAAUGUCGCAAAUGUUGACCUCUGCCUCCGGGAGCCCCUGUGUCUGGACCCAGCGUGCAGACGCUCCAUUGCCCGUCCUCUCUCUCGCUGACGCAUCCAGCACUCCGUGAUGCCUGCCACGGCCAAGUGGGAGGGAAGGAAAGGUCGCAGCGGUGGGCGUCAACGCCUCCUAACACGACCGCCCUCUGGCUCCUGGAGGAGAAGCCCUGGAGAAUCAACACAACGUCCUCCGCAAAGACACGGCUUCCGAACCUUCCGGCCUCGUUGCUGUCCACCCCCUGCGGAAAAGAACCAUCCCUGGAUCGGGACCUCAGGGGCCCCUCACACAUGGGGCUCGGCUGACGGUGACGGGAAGGUCUCUCGGCUGCACCGUCGCCGUAAAGACCCUGAUGAGUCCAACCGUCUCCUGUCAUUAACCACAGACCAUGAAACUCGUCUGUUCGGAAGCCCCAAACGUUUGCACACUCUGGCUCACAACUCCUCCUCCUGAAUUAGUGUAGAAGUAAUCGGGAGUGCCCACUGGGUUCAUGCAGAAAGACGUUCGUUGCCAAGUUCGCAGUAAUGAAGAAAACUCACGACCUCUCCCGCCGAGCCCGCUCUGGCAUUGUAAUAAAACGCACACCGGGAAAUAGCGUUGCCGCACUUAGCACUUAGUAAACCUCAGCGCUUCAUAAACAAUUCAGUAGAAAUUUU